rnacentral:rRNA from 1 species
GCAAGUCGAGCGAACUUCUUCGGAAGUGAGCGGCGGACGGGUGAGUAACGCGUGGGUAACCUGCCCUAUACACACGGAUAACGUACCGAAAGGUACGCUAAUACGAGAUAACAUAUUUUUAUCGCAUGAUAAGAAUAUCAAAGCUCCGGCGGUAUAGGAUGGACCCGCGUCUGAUUAGCUAGUUGGUAAGGUAACGGCUUACCAAGGCGACGAUCAGUAGCCGACCUGAGAGGGUGAUCGGCCACAUUGGAACUGAGACACGGUCCAAACUCCUACGGGAGGCAGCAGUGGGGAAUAUUGCACAAUGGGCGAAAGCCUGAUGCAGCAACGCCGCGUGAGCGAUGAAGGCCUUCGGGUCGUAAAGCUCUGUCCUCAAGGAAGAUAAUGACGGUACUUGAGGAGGAAGCCCCGGCUAACUACGUGCCAGCAGCCGCGGUAAUACGUAGGGGGCUAGCGUUAUCCGGAAUUACUGGGCGUAAAGGGUGCGUAGGUGGUUUCUUAAGUCAGAGGUGAAAGGCUACGGCUCAACCGUAGUAAGCCUUUGAAACUGAGAAACUUGAGUGCAGGAGAGGAGAGUAGAAUUCCUAGUGUAGCGGUGAAAUGCGUAGAUAUUAGGAGGAAUACCAGUUGCGAAGGCGGCUCUCUGGACUGUAACUGACACUGAGGCACGAAAGCGUGGGGAGCAAACAGGAUUAGAUACCCUGGUAGUCCACGCCGUAAACGAUGAGUACUAGCUGUCGGAGGUUACCCCCUUCGGUGGCGCAGCUAACGCAUUAAGUACUCCGCCUGGGAAGUACGCUCGCAAGAGUGAAA